rnacentral:rRNA from 1 species
AACGAACGCUGGCGGCAUGCCUAACACAUGCAAGUCGAACGAAACCUUCGGGUCUAGUGGCGCACGGGUGCGUAACGCGUGGGAAUCUGCCCUCUGGUUCGGAACAACAGUUGGAAACGACUGCUAAUACCGGAUAAUGACUUCGGUCCAAAGAUUUAUCGCCUGAGGAUGAGCCCGCGUAGAAUUAGCUUGUUGGUGAGGUAAAAGCUCACCAAGGCGACGAUCCUUAGCUGGUCUGAGAGGAUGAUCAGCCACACUGGGACUGAGACACGGCCCAGACUCCUACGGGAGGCAGCAGUGGGGAAUAUUGGACAAUGGGCGAAAGCCUGAUCCAGCAAUGCCGCGUGAGUGAUGAAGGCCUUAGGGUUGUAAAGCUCUUUUAUCCGGGAUGAUAAUGACAGUACCGGGGGAAUAAGCCCCGGCUAACUCCGUGCCAGCAGCCGCGGUAACAC